CACUGCCGAGAAAAGCCUCUAGAUAGAAAAUAGGUGCCCGUACCGCAAACCGACACAGGUAGUCAAGAUGAGAAUUCUAAGGUGAGCGAGCGAACUCUCGUUAAGGAACUCGGCAAAAUGACCCCGUAACUUCGGGAGAAGGGGUGCUCUUUAGGGUUAACGCCCAGAAGAGCCGCAGUGAAUAGGCCCAAGCGACUGUUUAUCAAAAACACAGGUCUCUGCUAAACCGUAAGGUGAUGUAUAGGGGCUGACGCCUGCCCGGUGCUGGAAGGUUAAGAGGAGUGGUUAGCUUCUGCGAAGCUACGAAUCGAAGCCCCAGUAAACGGCGGCCGUAACUAUAACGGUCCUAAGGUAGCGAAAUUCCUUGUCGGGUAAGUUCCGACCCGCACGAAAGGCGUAACGAUUUGGGCACUGUCUCAACGAGAGACUCGGUGAAAUCAUAGUACCUGUGAAGAUGCAGGUUACCCGCGACAGGACGGAAAGACCCCGUGGAGCUUUACUGUAGCCUGAUAUUGAAAUUCGGCACAGCUUGUACAGGAUAGGUAGGAGCCUUUGAAACGUGAGCGCUAGCUUACGUGGAGGCGCUGGUGGGAUACUACCCUAGCUGUGUUGGCUUUCUAACCCGCACCACUUAUCGUGGUGGGAGACAGUGUCAGGCGGGCAGUUUGACUGGGGCGGUCGCCUCCUAAAAGGUAACGGAGGCGCUCAAAGGUUCCCUCAGAAUGGUUGGAAAUCAUUCAUAGAGUGUAAAGGCAUAAGGGAGCUUGACUGCGAGACCUACAAGUCGAGCAGGGUCGAAAGACGGACUUAGUGAUCCGGUGGUUCCGCAUGGAAGGGCCAUCGCUCAACGGAUAAAAGCUACCCCGGGGAUAACAGGCUUAUCUCCCCCAAGAGUUCACAUCGACGGGGAGGUUUGGCACCUCGAUGUCGGCUCAUCG
rnacentral:rRNA from 1 species